rnacentral:rRNA from 1 species
GCGCGAAAACUUUACAAUGCUGGCAACAGCGAUAAGGGAACCUCGAGUGCAGGUUACAAAUCUUGCUUUCGAGAUUCCUAAAAAGCAUUUCAUAGCAAGGGCCGGGCAAGACCGGUUCCAGCCGCCGCGGGAACACCGGCGGCCCGAGUGGUAAACGUUAUUAUUGGGUCUAAAGGGUCUGUAGCCGGCCGGAUAAGUCCCUUGAGAAAUCUGGCAGCUUAACUGUCAGGCUUUCAGGAGAUACUGUCUGGCUCGAGGCCGGGAGAGGUGAGAGGUACUUCAGGGGUAGGGGUGAAAUCUUGUAAUCCUUGAAGGACCACCAGUGGCGAAGGCGUCUCACCAGAACGGACCUGACGGCAAGGGACGAAAGCUAGGGGCACGAACCG